AAAGUCGUAACAAGGUUUCCGUAGGUGAACCUGCGGAAGGAUCAUUAAAGAAUUUUGAAAGGGGUUGUAGCAGGCCGGAAGGCAUGUGCACGCCUCGAUCAUCAUCCAUCUCACACCUGUGCACACACUGUAGGUCGGUUUGUGGGGCGAGAUCUUCAUCGAUUUUGCUUUGCGGGCCUUCCUAUGUUUUAUCACAAACUACUAGUUUAGAGAAUGUCUACUGCGUGUAACGCAUUUAUAUACAA
rnacentral:misc_RNA from 1 species